AGUCAUUGGUAGCUUGACGGGGGGGGCAUUGAAUCUAUAAAUUACCUUGGGCAGUAUGACAAUUUUCAUGAUAUUGAUUCUUCCAAUCCAUGAGCAUGGAAUGUUCUUCCAUUUGUUUGUGUCAAGAGAGUAAUAUCUUUCAUAAGAGGCAUGCCCAUGUUCAUCUCAAGUAAAUGUGUGGGGUAUCUUGUUCAUGUGACAAAGAUGAAGACAAAUAAUCAUAAAUAUUUUGAGUAAGAAGACAUGAAAGCUCAUUCAAACUUCUCCAAGAUAUAGGUCAUGAUAAAGUAAUGAGUUGCCCAGGGUCCCUUUGUGACUUAAUAGUAGAACUUAGUUGUAGAGGCAGAAUGGUACUAAGGUUAGGACACACUGAGCUUUGAAGAUAGGUCAAAUUUUUCCAGAAAUGCUGCUGGCUGUCGUCCUAUGCAAAUCACCAAACCUCUCUGAACCUCAGUUUCCCUGCCCACAGGAUGAAAAUCAUCAUAAUACCAACUUCACAGAGUGCUUCUGAGACACAGAAUAAUUUUGAUACAAGCCACAUACCUAGUAUUCAUUUAAAUGAAUGUUCAUAAUGUGUCUGGGUUGCAUGAAGAUGGAAAUGAAAGCCCUUCAAGAUGAGAAGUACUGUACUUUACAAUGAUUAUUCAUGUUAUUGUACAAGUUUUAAUCAUUUCAAAAUCUUAGCACAGAUAUACAAUGACAAUUAAAUUUUUCCUAGUCUGUAUCUGCAGGACUAUUCAGGAAUUGUUCAGUGCAUCAUUUAGCCUGCAAGAAUUAAAGAAUCUUGUGAAAUGAA